UGGGGAAUAUUGCACAAUGGGCGCAAGCCUGAUGCAGCCAUGCCGCGUGUAUGAAGAAGGCCUUCGGGUUGUAAAGUACUUUCAGUCGGGAGGAAGGUGGUAAGGUUAAUAACCUUAUCAAUUGACGUUACCGACAGAAGAAGCACCGGCUAACUCCGUGCCAGCAGCCGCGGUAAUACGGAGGGUGCAAGCGUUAAUCGGAAUUACUGGGCGUAAAGCGCACGCAGGCGGUUUGUUAAGUCAGAUGUGAAAUCCCCGGGCUCAACCUGGGAACUGCAUCUGAUACUGGCAAGCUUGAGUCUCGUAGAGGGGGGUAGAAUUCCAGGUGUAGCGGUGAAGUGCGUAGAGAUCUGGAGGAAUACCGGUGGCGAAGGCGGCCACCUGGACGAAGACUGACGCUCAGGUGCGAAAGCGUGGGGAGCAAACAGG
rnacentral:rRNA from 1 species